CAUCAUUCACAGUGAUCAUUCAUUCAACAGCCAGCAAGUCAGCAGCCUCACUGUGUAUAGCCGCCAAAUCGUCUUUCGCGUUCGCAUUCGUUCAACUGAGGUACAAGGAAAUACAGCAUUUUUAUUAGAUUACCAGCCAGUCAUAGGCCUUUUCCGUAUACAAAGUUUCCAUUUCCAGUGUGUGAAAUCUAUCGCUUCCAAGAUGUGUAACUGCGCCACCAUCAUUGUUUGCUCUAUUCUGUUCGCCAUCGCGAUCGCCGUUGCCAUCUACUAUGGUGUGUUCAACGUCGAUGAGUCAGCGCCGCAGGUAGGCGAUUUCAUCAAAAAGACCGGAGACUCGAUCAAGCACGGCGUCAACGAGGGUGUCAAGAAAUUCGACGACUGAUCACCGUGGGUCAUCGUCGUCGUUUGCGUAUUCCGUUAUCUUCAAUGAACUCACCAUCAGCGAAAUGCGACUGACGGGAAUCUUUAUUUUAGAGCAUAUGACAUCACACGAAAUGGAAUCUCUUUUGAAUCUUCUUUGAUUUUUAUGACAAACUUUCUAUUAUUUAUUAGUAUUUUCCCAGUAAUAUUAAAGUUAAUAUUUGGAAUAUAAAAAUGUUAAAAA